UUGGAAUUCAUGCGUUAGAUCCAGGGACGUGCACAGGUACGGGCUAUUGUUGCCUAGGAAACUGCCCGUUUGCCCUGAUUGGCUUAGCUGGCCCUCUGGUAAAAGAGCCUAAAUACAUUUCUUUCUUCAUUUUUUUAUUUUUUAUUUUUUGCUUUGUUGGCUGCAUUGAUACACUAAUACGCCAAUCAUUACUAAAGUUAAAUCAAAUUAAAUCGCUAUAUCAUCCAAUCUUGCCCUCCGCGAGGCCCUCCACCCCCCAGUCACGUGACUUUGUUUACAC